rnacentral:rRNA from 1 species
CCUACGGGGGGCAGCAGUGGGGGAUAUUGCACAAUGGGGGAAACCCUGAUGCAGCGACGCCGCGUGGGUGAAGAAGUAUUUCGGUAUGUAAAGCCCUAUCAGCAGGGAAGAAAGAAGACGGUACCUGACUAAGAAGCCCCGGCUAACUACGUGCCAGCAGCCGCGGUAAUACGUAGGGGGCGAGCGUUAUCCGGAUUCACUGGGUGUAAAGGGAGCGUAGACGGCCGUGCAAGCCAGGAGUGAACGCCCGGGGCCCAACCCCGGGACUGCUCUUGGAACUGUGCGGCUGGAGUGCGGGAGGGGCAGGCGGAAUUGCUGGUGUAGCGGUGAAAUGCGUAGAUAUCAGGAGGAACACCGGCGGCGAAGGCGGCCUGCUGGACCGCGACUGACGUUGAGGCUCGAAAGCGUGGGGAGCGAACAGGAUUAGAUACCCGAGUAGUC